AGGCAAGAAUGCUUACUUACCUUGAGUGAA
rnacentral:piRNA from 1 species